AAUCUCCAGGGCCCAUUUUGCUUAGAGAGACAUCUGAAAUAGUAAAACCAAACAAACAAAAGAAUUUUCAAAGGAAUUUUAAUUUUGUAGGUGCUUUAGAGGGGUCUUAUUUAUAACCUAUACCAAUUUUUCUCACAGUUGAUUUUUUUUUCUUUUGCCCACUUCUCUUACAGGAUAAAUAGUCUCUAAAAACUAUCCCUCUGCAUAUCUUUCUAUUUGGUUAACAUCACAUUCCUGAGUUGAAUAUUUCUACUUCUACCCACUUGGCUUAAUUGAACUCUUUAUUAUAUCUUUGUCUUCCAUCUUCAUGGAAGUUCAUUGCAGUGAUUCUGUGGAUAACUUGCCUGAUGCUUGUUUUGUCUGUUGGAAUCUUAGCCACAAUGUUGCAUCAGAAGUCAUGAAAAGAGAAAGGAUAUCCAGGAAAUCUCUCCCUUAAUCAGGAAACAAAUAAAACAGGUCAAAGUAUGAGUCA
rnacentral:lncRNA from 12 species